rnacentral:lncRNA from 10 species
GGAGUCUCCUUUCACCCAGGCUAGAGUGCAGUGGCGCAAUCUCGGUUCACUGCAACCUCCGCCUCCCAGGUUUGCCCAAUUAAAGCAAUUCUCCUGCCUUAGCCUCUCGAGUAGCUGGGAUUACAGACGUGCGCUACCACGGCUGGCUAAUUUUGUUUUGUAUUUUUAGUAGAGACGGGGUUUUAUAAUGUUGGCCAGGUUGGUCUCAAGCUCCUGACCUCAAGCGAUCCACCUGCCUAGCCUCCCAAAGUGCCGGGAUUACAGGAGUGAGCCACUGCGCCUGGCCAGGUUUUAUUUUUAAUUUUUAAUUUUUGGAAGCACAGAGCAUACAGAUUCACUUACACAAGCAACAUUUUUUCCUGGAAGUUAAGAAAAGGAGACAACAAACGUAGUUUAGGAAGUGCUGGAUUUGGAGGGAAUUGUUCCUGCCUGGAGGUGAGGGAACCAUCAAUGGCCUUGUCUGAGAUGCACGCCUUGGUGCACAACAAACUCCUCUGCCAUCGCUUAGUCCUUCAAAGCUGACAGUGCUUUUAGAGGGAGUCUCCAGGGGUAUUUCACAUGGGCUCCCAGCCCUCUGCAUGUGCCUGGGCUGUUUCUCAGUUCCAGCCUGUUGAUCCCUGCACUGGCCAAGGGCUGAUGCUUCCCCUGCCAUGCUGACUUCAAGUCAUGCAGACACCUGAUGGAAGAGUCUUCCAGGCAGAAGGAAGGACAAAUACCCUUGAUAUACAUGUACUUGGCCGGCAUGAGGAAGAGCAAUGUGGAAGGAUACAGAUAGUUGGGAACAUAUAGUGCCUGUGAAUGACCAGUAUGCUCACUCCAAUAACAUCAGGCAAGCAAUUCCACAUAAUACUGAAGAAGGCUGUUGAAGUGACUGAAUCUGGCCAAAUAUUCUGAGCGUUUCGGAGGGAUUUUUAACAUUCUAAAUGCUAUCUGGAACAUCGAUGCAGCAUGGGAAGAAGUCACACAGCCAUGCAUGAACAGCAUUUGGAAGAAAGUUUUGAAGACAUAUGUGAACACAUUCAAAAUGUUAACAGAG